GAUGAACGCUGGCGGCGUGCCUAAUACAUGCAAGUCGAGCGAACGGACGAGAAGCUUGCUUCUCUGAUGUUAGCGGCGGACGGGUGAGUAACACGUGGAUAACCUACCUAUAAGACUGGGAUAACUUCGGGAAACCGGAGCUAAUACCGGAUGAUAUUUUGAACCGCAUGGUUCAAAAGUGAAAGACGGUCUUUCUGUCACUUAUAGAUGGAUCCGCGCUGCAUUAGCUAGUUGGUAAGGUAACGGCUUACCAAGGCAACGAUGCAUAGCCGACCUGAGAGGGAGAAUGGACAAACUGGAACAGAGACACGGCCCCGACGCCUACGGGGGGAAGCAGUAGGGAAUCUUACGGAAUGGGGGAAAGCCUGACGGAGCAAAGCCGGCUGAGGGAUGAAGGUCCUAGGAUCGGAAAACUAUGUUAUUUGGGAAGAACCAAAGUGUAAGUAACUGUGCACAUCUUGACGGUACCUAAUCAGAAAGCCACGGCUAACUACGUG
rnacentral:rRNA from 1 species